UAAUCUCUGGUUCCACUCAAUAGA
rnacentral:piRNA from 1 species